GGUGUUAAGGAGUGCCGAGGUUGUCUCUCACGUCCUGGUUGGCCUCGACCUCGACUACAAUCUGGUUGUCUCAGCUCUUGCAGCUCGGAUCGAAUCGGUGACUGUCCAAGAACUCUUCAACCAACUGCUCAGCUUUGAUG
rfam:Hordeum vulgare subsp. vulgare, WGS project CAJW01000000 data, contig: morex_contig_1566921